rnacentral:rRNA from 1 species
UGGGGAAUAUUGCACAAUGGAGGGAACUCUGAUGCAGCGACGCCGCGUGAACGAAGAAGGCUUUCGAGUCGUAAAGUUCUUUUAUAUGGGAAGAUAAUGACGGUACCAUAAGAAAAAGCCCCGGCUAACUACGUGCCAGCAGCCGCGGUAAUACGUAGGGGGCUAGCGUUGUCCGGAAUCACUGGGCGUAAAGGGUUCGGAGGCGGAAAUGCAAGUCAGGUGUAAAAGGCAGUAGCUUAACUACUGUAAGCAUUUGAAACUGCAUAUCUUGAGAAGAGUAGAGGUAAGUGGAAUUUUUAGUGUAGCGGUGAAAUGCGUAGAUAUUAAAAAGAAUACCGGUGGCGAAGGCGACUUACUGGGCUCAUUCUGACGCUGAGGAACGAAAGCGUGGGUAGCAAACAGG